rnacentral:rRNA from 1 species
UAACGCGAAGAACCUUACCUGGUCUUGACAUCCCCCUGACCGCUCUUUAAUCGGAGCUUUCCUUCGGGACAGGGGAGACAGGUGGUGCAUGGUUGUCGUCAGCUCGUGUCGUGAGAUGUUGGGUUAAGUCCCGCAACGAGCGCAACCCCUAUCUUCAGUAGCCAGCGGCAAGGCCGGGCACUCUGGAGAGACUGCCAGGGACAACCUGGAGGAAGGUGGGGAUGACGUCAAAUCAUCAUGCCCCUUAUGACCAGGGCUACACACGUGCUACAAUGGCGUAAACAAAGGGAAGCGAAGGAGUGAUUUGGAGCGAAUCCCAAAAAUAACGUCUCAGUUCGGAUUGUAGUCUGCAACCCGACUACAUGAAGCUGGAAUCGCUAGUAAUCGCGGAUCAGAAUACCGCGGUGAAUACGUUCCUGGGUCUUGUACACACGCA